rfam:Congregibacter litoralis KT71 chromosome, whole genome shotgun sequence.
UUUGUUGCCGGUAGAAAAUCGGCCCCAGAGGUGCCAGAGCAGAUUAUCAAAAGGAAAUUGAAAUGGCUUUAAACGCAGAACGUAAAGCGGAAAUCGUCCGUGAUUAUCAGCAAAGCGAA